rnacentral:lncRNA from 1 species
GAGUGGGAGGCGGCGGGCUUUCAUAAACAAUUGGUGGUGGUGGAGAACUGUAGUGAACCGGUGGCGAAAGAUGGUGAACUGGUGGGGGUGAUGGAUGAGGUGGCGGGGUUUCACAUGGAAUUGGGGGUGAUGGGGAUGGUGGUGGUGGGGAAUUGUAGUGAACAGGUGUUGGCGGUGGUGGUGAUUGGUAUUGGACUACAGGGGGAGGCGGUGAAGGGGAUGGUGGGGGAGGGGACUGGUACACUGGUGGAGGUGGAGAAGAAUAGACAGGAGGUGGUGGUGGGGGUGAGGGUGAAGGUGGCGGCAAGUAAACAAUGGGAGGAGGUGGCGGGGGAGGUGAGUAUUCAAUACAUGGUGGUGGUGGGGAAGGUGGAGGGGGUGGUUCUAUACAAAGUGGUGCUGGUGGUGGUGGUGAGAGGACCGGGGGAGGUGGGGAAUGUCCAGGAGGUGGCGGUGAUGGAUAGACAUAUAUUGGUGGUGGCGGUGAAUGCGGUGUGGCGGUGAAUGCGGUGAAUGCGGAGGUGGAGGCAGUGUGGAGGUGGGGUGAUAGUACAUGUAAGGAGAAGGUGGAGGUGGAGAGCUCAAUGGAACCGGUGGUGGGGGUGAAUUGGUGGCGGAGGUGAGGGGGCCGCACGCAAUAGGG